AGUCCCAUCCACUUGGUCCUCUCUGAAUUGACAUCUGUCAAUAAGUCCUAGGGGUUCCUUGGUGUACAAUUUGGGAACCUCUGGAAAAGAAUUCUGCCUGCAAUAGUUGAGUGGCGCGUGGCAGCACCAGCGUGGAGCUUGAAGGCAGCGGCCUGCCUGGAGGAGAGGUCUCCAAGAAGGGCCAGGGCCCUGAGCGGGUGCUGGGGUGUCAGGGGGUCAGGGUCUGCAGGAUACAGGCUGUGAGCUGAGGACUUCCACCUGCGGGGGACCGGAACACAAGCUUCCUCCCCUGACACCCCCACCCUAUCCAUGCCCAUUGGUGACCCUCAGUGCCCCAGCUCUGUCCCCUCAAAGGUGACUUCCAGGAACAGGACCUGAGGUUCUGCUUUGGUGACUGGUAGGAUGCCUCUGGCCUCUGGCGCUACUCUUCAGACGGUGCACGGCACACUAUAGUUUACAAAGCACGUUCCCAUUGUCACUUGCUGUGAGUUCAUCUUUGCAGCCUCUGCUAAGAAAAUGUACUAUUACUUAAUUCCCUCUGUGGAGAGGAGGAAGUUAAGGAUCACAGGUUAUGUAAAUUGCCCUCAGCGGACGCCUGGAAACCGGAAAGACUCUAAAUCCCUACCCGCCCCCCAUCCCCCUCAGGCUCUCCCCACCCUGUCUGCCUCUUUAUAAUGCUAAUCGAGGUAAGAAGUUUCCCAGCCACAGCCCGGGGCAGGUUGGGGCUGGGGUUAGAAGUCAGUUUUCGGGCAGGCUUAAGGGACUGACCAGGAGAACGUGUCCAGGGGUUGAUUGGCAGGUGAGGAUACCUUUAAGAGCAGGCCAAGUGCAGUAGCCCCGCCCCCAUCGGCUGCAGACCUCCAGACACCCUCCAGGCUGCUGUAGCUCCUGCUGAUGCAAGAGCCACCACUGGGCCUGUAUCUGCGCCCUGCGCUCCCCAGGGCUCGUUUUUUCUAUCUUCAUGACAACAUGUGGCUGCUGGACGUAUGGUCCCCCUGUUAUUGAUGGAGAGACUGAGGUCCAGAAGAAACUUGCUCAAGAAUACGCUGCGGCUAAGUGUUGGAGCUGGGCUUCGACUCCCAGGGGUUCACCUCCCUCCAAAGGAUGAUCACAAAACUGUAAUGAUUUGCUCUGAGCCACAGGAAUCGUGCCUGGGAAUGGGCUCCCCGAGACGUGCCCCAGCUCUCCUCCCAGCCUCUUUUCAGUGUGGGGACCCCAUUAGCAGGAACUUUGAAUAACCAAGGGGGAGAGGGACACAUCGCCAAGAGGAGGAGGGAGAGAAGAGUGAACUCUGUCCCCCAUGACACAGCAAGUGGCCGAGCCAGGCCCGCCCAGGUGGCCCAGCUUCCCAGCCAGCGAGUUUGACCAUGCUUCUUUUUUAUCCUCGCUCAAGUUGCUUUAAUGAAACGAAGAUGUGUCUGUUCCCCUGCUGGAGCUGCCCUGGGAAUUUCAAUAUAAAACAAACAAGUCGGCUUUUAAAAUUAAAAUUUUAUGGGUGGCAUUUCCUCAUUUAAUGGGAGGCAGAGGAGGCUGGUGUAAAACAAUUAACACGGGGUCGGGCCUCGGCGUUCAGCAAAAUUAAACGCCAGGAGCGCGCGGUGCCAGGAGCCCGG